ACCAAUCAUCGAUGAAUAUAAACUAAUAGUUAAAGUGUCUUUGCAAAUACGUAAGUAUAAAAUGACAAUAUAUUAAAAACCUAGUCACCGUAUAAAAAAUGAGAAUGUAUAUAAUAAAGGUGAAAUAAGACGUUCCUCAUAUGUAACCUGUGACGAGAGCAAUCUCGCCACAUUGCAUUGGAGGAGCCUGGUUGCCCGCCUGCUCCCUUUAGACUAUGGCCCCAUGUUGAGCAGCGCUGUAAAAGAAAGAAAAGAAUCACAUUAAUAAUGAAUACAUAUGAGAUUACAAUAAACAUAGGGUAAGAGAAAAUUCCCUUGAACUAAUGUGUUCCUAAUAGUCUGCAGUCUUUUGUACGAGAAUAGGGGAGUUCCCUGGAAUUCCGGGAAACUUUGCACUUUAUGAGGUGGAGUAUCCAGAAAUAAAUGUACCUUCUUGAUCCUGUAGUGUUGCCUGUGUCCUCCUGCUUCUGUGAGUCUUCUGGUGGAUUCAGCGUUGUCCACCCUUAGCAAGGAGCACCU